rnacentral:lncRNA from 1 species
UUUCUGGUUUUCAUGCUGAAAAGGUUCAGGGUGAUCUUUGAGUAGGUUCCAGGUUUUUCUCAGUUAGGCCUUGUUCGUUUCUGCCGGAUUGGUGGGUCGGAACGGUUCCUAACCGGAUUGCUUCUCUAAUUUAUAUAAACUUUGAUUAGAUGGAACGAUUUCAGGUGCAAUCCGACACAAACGAACAAGGCGUUACCCAGUAGGAACUCCCCCCUCCUUCCUAACCGGAUUGCUUCUCUAAUUUAUAUAAACUUUGAUUAGAUGGAACGAUUUCAGGUGCAAUCCGACACAAACGAACAAGGCGUUACCCAGUAGGAACUCCCCCCUCCCGCCGGAUAUUUGGGUUCACUGUUCACUAAUGAAAGCUAUGCGACCGUUGCUCUUGCAUUCCAAAGUUUUCAGGGCAUGAUACGAGCCAGAAAUCACAGUGGAGAUUUCCCUAGAGAAUACGAUUUCUGUUUUAAUUCUAGCUGCAAUUACCCUAGGGAAAGCGAUUGAUGCUGAAAUGUACGCGCAAGGCAUGUGAGUUUCCAACUGAAGUUCAUUCUAAUUGAGCUGCGCGUUUUCAUUACAAAGAGAUCAGACCACAGACGCAUUGGGAAACAAAAAGAAAACCGAACAGCUUCAGGCAGAGGGGUGGAUGCGGCGGUCCGUACUAGCUGUGCCUGCGAGUGUGUGCGUCGAUGUUGAGCUCAGGCAGGCCGAUCCGCGGC